AUGUCUAAGUACAUGCCGAAAUAAGGCGAAACCGCGAAUGGCUCAUUAAAUCAGUUAUGGUUCCUUAGAUCGUUUCUUCCUACUUGGAUAACUGUGGCAAUUCUAGAGCUAAUACAUGCAGUGAGCCUGGAGCCCUUUGGGUAACGGGUGCUUUUAUUAGACCAAGAUCGAUCGGGUUUCGGCCCGUAUUGUGUGGUGACUCUGGAUAACUUUGUGCUGAUCGCAUGGCCACGAGCCGGCGACGUUUCUUUCAAGUGUCUGCCUUAUCAACUUUCGAUGGUAGGUUACUUGCUUACCAUGGUUGUUACGGGUAACGGAGAAUCAGGGUUCGAUUCCGGAGAGGGAGCCUGAGAAACGGCUACCACAUCCAAGGAAGGCAGCAGGCGCGCAAAUUACCCACUCCCGGCACGGGGAGGUAGUGACGAAAAAUAACAAUACGGGACUCUUUUGAGGCCCCGUAAUUGAAAUGAGUACACUCUAAAUCCUUUAACGAGGAUCAAUUGGAGGGCAAGUCUGGUGCCAGCAGCCGCGGUAAUUCCAGCUCCAAUAGCGUAUACUAAAGCUGCUGCGGUUAAAAAGCUCGUAGUUGGAUCUCAGUUCCAGACGAGUAGUGCAUCUACCCGAUGCGACGGCUCGGACUGAACAUCAUGCCGGUUCUUUCUUGGUGCACUUCAUUGUGUGCCUCGAGAUGGCCGGUGCUUUUACUUUGAAAAAAUUAGAGUGCUCAACGCAGGCGAGUCGCCUGAAUAAACUUGCAUGGAAUAAUAGAACAAGACCUCGUUUCUGUUCUGUUGGUUUUUGGAAUACGAGGUAAUGAUUAAGAGGGACGGACGGGGGCAUUCGUAUUGCGGCGCUAGAGGUGAAAUUCUUGGACCGUCGCAAGACGAACUACUGCGAAAGCAUUUGCCAAGAAUGUUUUCAUUGAUCAAGAACGAAAGUCAGAGGUUCGAAGGCGAUCAGAUACCGCCCUAGUUCUGACCAUAAACGAUGCCAACCAGCGAUCCGCCUGAGUUACUCAAAUGACUCGGCGGGCAGCUUCCGGGAAACCAAAGUAUUUGGGUUCCGGGGGAAGUAUGGUUGCAAAGCUGAAACUUAAAGGAAUUGACGGAAGGGCACCACCAGGAGUGGAGCCUGCGGCUUAAUUUGACUCAACACGGGAAAACUUACCCGGCCCGGACACUGGGAGGAUUGACAGAUUGAGAGCUCUUUCUUGAUUCGGUGGAUGGUGGUGCAUGGCCGUUCUUAGUUGGUGGAGCGAUUUGUCUGGUUAAUUCCGAUAACGAACGAGACUCUAGCCUAUUAAAUAGGUGCGGGGUUCCCAGCACCUUACAACCUUCUUAGAGGGACAAGCGGCUCCUAGCCGCACGAAACAGAGCAAUAACAGGUCUGUGAUGCCCUUAGAUGUCCGGGGCCGCACGCGCGCUACACUGAAGGAAGCAGCGUGUCUUUAUCCCUGUCUGAAAAGACUGGGUAACCCGUGGAACUUCUUUCGUGAUUGGGAUAGGGGCUUGCAAUUGUUCCCCUUGAACGAGGAAUUCCCAGUAAGCGCGAGUCAUAAGCUCGCGUUGAUUACGUCCCUGCCCUUUGUACACACCGCCCGUCGCUACUACCGAUUGAAUGAUUUAGUGAGGUCUUCGGACCGAUGUCCGGCGCGGCCUUUCGGUUGCGCCGGUCUGUUGGAAAGAUGACCAAACUUGAUCA
rnacentral:rRNA from 1 species